CCCUUAGAUGUUCUGGGCUGCACGCGCGUUACACUGAUGCAUUCAACGAGCUUAUAACCUUGGCCGAGAGGCCUGGGCAAUCUUGCUAACGUGCAUCGUGAUAGGGAUAGAUUAUUGAAAUUAUUAAUCUUGAACGAGGAAUUCCUAGUAAACGCAGAUCAUCAAUCUGCAUUGAUUACGUCCCUGCCCUUUGUACACACCGCCCGUCGCACCUACCGAUUGGAUGGUCCGGUGAAGCCUCGGGAUUGUGGUUCUUGCCGCUUUAUUGUGGCGUGACCGCGAGAACUUGUCUAAACCUUAUCAUCUAGAGGAAGGUGAAGUCGUAACA
rnacentral:rRNA from 1 species